UCACCUCUCCCUAAGUUGACUUUGCCGUUUUUGGGAGAUCAGAUUCAGCUUUCCGCAAACCCACCAAGAGCUGAGCAAAGACGGGAGAGGAGAGGGGACGCCUUGACUUCUGCUGAAUUCAGUAACCAGUCUGUCCACGGGUCAUGGCCGGUUCCGUGUAGCGGAGCGGGUUUUUAUUUCGGGCGGAUUCCCCCCGGUUUGUGCGCCUGCAGCCGAGCGCAGCUCUCACUGCGGCUCCAAAGGGAAACCAUAUCUGGUCAAAGUAUUCGUUGCUGUCACCCAGUAGAGCCGGACCUGCUAUUAAUAGCGCCGGAGGAGCUGCUGCUGCGCCAACAGUCUGGACACCUGGCCGCCUUUUGGUCUCAGCCUACCGUUGACGUGAGUGAGCAUCACUGAGUCCACUGCCUCCAUCAUUCCAGAUAUUUUCAAAUUAAGUCCACGUUCUCCUGCUCGAUUGUCUUUUUCGUCUCGUCUUUCCGGUUCGGGGAGGUCGUGGAGGUGUGCGGCUCAUCAUGUCGCUGUUGAAGAAGGAGAUGGACAAGUACAGGGACAUAGACGAGGACGAGCUGCUGAAGAAGCUGUCAGAGGAGGAGCUGCAGCGGUUAGAGGACGAGCUGGAGGAGCUGGAUCCUGACAAUGCGUUGCUGCCUGCCGGCCUUCGACAGAAGGACCAGACCAAGAAAGCACCAACAGGAACGUUUCAGAGAGACAACCUGCUGGCCCACCUGGAGAAGCAGGCCAAGGAGCAUCCUGACAGAGAAGACCUGGUGCCGUUUACCGGCGAGAAGAGAGGAAAGGCGUGGGUGCCAAAACAGAGGGUGGACCCCAUCAUAGAGAACGUGACCCUGGAGCCGGAGCUGGAGGAAGCCCUGGCCAGUGCCUCUGAUGCAGAACUCUGCGACAUUGCAGCUAUCCUGGGCAUGCACACCCUGAUGAGCAACCAGCAGUACUACGAAGCGCUGGCCAGCAGCACCAUAGUCAACAAGCAGGGCCUCAACAGUGUGAUCCAGUGUACCCAGUACAAACCAGUCCCAGACGAGGAGCCCAACUCCACUGACGUCGAGGAAACGUUGAUGAGGAUAAAGAGGAACGAUCCUGACCUGGUGGAGGUCAACCUCAACAACAUAAAGAAUAUCCCCGUCCCAACACUGAAGGCUUACGCCGAAGCACUGAUGAAGAACACCGUGGUGGAAAGGUUCAGCAUUGUUGGAACAAGGAGCAACGACCCUGUAGCAUUUGCACUGGCAGAGAUGCUGAAGGCGAACUCAACUCUGAAGAGUCUGAAUGUCGAGUCAAACUUCAUCACCGGGGCUGGAAUCCUGUCCCUGAUUGAAUCACUGCAGCAUAACACCACACUACUGGAGAUUAAAAUCGACAAUCAGAGCCAGCCGCUGGGAAACAAAGUGGAGAUGGAGAUAGCCAGCAUUCUGGAGAAAAACACCACCUUGUUAAAGUUCGGCUACCAUUUCACUCAACAGGGCCCGCGCCUGCGAGGCUCCAAUGCCAUGAUGAACAACAACGACUUGGCCCGGGUCGUCAGGUCAGAAUCGGACGGCUCCUUCACCUUCACUCUGUCCGUUCCUGAGCUGGAGAGAGCCUUUGGAAAAAAGUUCAAGUGCAAGACUAAGUGAAACCAGAAAAACGCAUAUGAGACGCAGUCGCCACGGUGUGCAGUCACUCAGUAAGAAAGAGAAGGCUUGAGGGAGGACCCAUCUUCCCAAAGUGUCGGACAAAUGUGUAAAAAAAAAAACAACCAAAUGGCUGCAUUCAUCCUCCUCCAAUCAUCCAUGACCUCCAUCAUCAACCUCUUUAUCGUUUGGUAAAUCUUGUGAAAAUAAUUAUUUUGUGCAUCUGGAUUGGCUAAGACCUUAAAAGCCGCAGCUCUUUGUGCUCACCAACCAGGAGAUGCACACUUUGUGUCAGUAGUAAAAGUCUAGUUUUGAAAACAAAUGGUCAUUUUUUUCCUGUUCGUGACAUCAAUUCAGUGUUAUGAGUACUGUUUUGUAAAGGGGAUGUGUUGCCAUUACUAUCACUUCCCUUCAGUUUUCUUGUCAACUUAAUAGUAUAUUCUAUGAAGACAACGAUGAAGCUCAGACUCAGAAGAUAAUAGAUAUGCAGAAGAAUUGUUCUAAAAAUCUGAGGUGACGCGUCGUUUUUGUGUCAGAUGCUCCGUUAUGCACAUAUUUCUGCGGUUUUAAAGCUUUCUAUUGUGAGACGUGUCACUUUAUAUGUACCAUAUUUAUUUGAGAAAAACCUUUUAAAAGAUUUAAAGCUUUAAAAACAACCUGUUGUUUUUUAACAAAAAGAAUCGCUUUCUUAAAUUUGUCUGUAAGGAGAUGCAACUUUCUGACCUUAAUGAUAAAAAGAAAUGUUUCAGGAGAAAAAAAAAUAUUCAGGUUACUCUUUUGGUGUGGUGAAUAACUUUUUUUUUAGUACUUCUUGUUGCAAAAGAUAUUUACUGUAUUUAUAUGCAUCUAUGCCUGAUUAGUUAUCAUUUUCAGGAUGCCCCAAAGAAAAUACAAUAUUUUUAACCAUCAAAAACUACAGUUCCCUCUGUUUCAAUUUUAAAAAGUACAGAGCAACUCUAAAUCAGUGGGAAUGUCUCGUUGUGACACAAAUUGAAAAUUGGGGGGUUAUCGACCCAACUGAUAAUUUGUAAAGCUCUAGUAAAACCCACAGAUGUAUGUAAUCAUAAAUGACAAGUUGUGUCCACAAGGCAUGUUUUAUAUUCAAACAGUUUUACCCAACACAGAUCCUAAGGACUGAUAAUCCUUGUAUUCUCAAAGUCACAUUAGUGCUGGAUGUAAACAUUUGUAACCGAGUGUCAAACGUCAAAAAGCACUCGACUUUGAACACUUUACUACUCUGUUCCUCUGUUUUUUUUUUUCUUUUCUGGUUUAGUGCUUGACUGUUUGUUUGUUUUUUAUGUAGAACGCACAGUUGUUAGUUGAAAGUGUUUGUUUAUGAGUUUAAUAAAGUUUGAGAUUUA